rnacentral:rRNA from 1 species
UACGAAGGGGGCUAGCGUUGCUCGGAAUCACUGGGCGUAAAGGGUGCGAAGGCGGGUCCUUAAGUCAGGGGUGAAAUCCUGGAGCUCAACUCCAGAACUGCCUUUGAUACUGAGGAUCUUGAGUUCGGGAGAGGUGAGUGGAACUGCGAGUGUAGAGGUGAAAUUCGUAGAUAUUCGCAAGAACACCAGUGGCGAAGGCGGCUCACUGGCCCGAUACUGACGCUGAGGCACGAAAGCGUGGGGAGCAAACAGG